GGGGAGUGUUAGAAUAGAAUAGGAAAACACAAUCGUACACAAACUAGGAAUAGUUUAUAGUCUCCUAUUUGGUAAGGAAUUGUAUUAUAUAGUGUCUAUAAAUAGGGUUCUCUAUGUAAUUAUUAAAACAACAAUUCAACAAUAUAUUCUUUCCUUAUAUUUCUCACAAAUACUUUAUGCUCUGAGGACAAUUGGAAAUAUCUCUAGUCAAGGAGGGUACUGGUCAGCUCCAUUCACCAGCCAAGAUGUCAUUACUAACCUCUGCUACAUAUUUAUGGCUUCUGGAAAGCAGGAGAACACGAGGCUGACAGCAGGGUCUUUCUUGGAUCGUCUUGUUCAUUUUUACCCUUUUAGUAUUCAACGGGUCAUGGAAAAACUUACAUUCAAGGAUGUGGUUUCAAGCCUGGACAAGCGUAAUCCACGAGAGCAACAAAUCUGCUUAAACAUUCUGAACAUGACCCUCCUUGAAAGUCAUACACUUCCAAGUGUUGGAAGGUACCUUCUUGCCUUGGUCGAAGAGAAGAAUCUUGUUCUGAAUCUGUUGACUCUCUCUAAUUGGGUAGGGUAGUGAUGUUUUGAAUGGAAAUGCACUCAUAUUUGUGGCUCUACUUUGUAUGAAUGGGAAGAGGUUGCUGCCACUAGUUUUUUGCAAUGCUAAAUUGCUCUCGACCGUUGAUAGGUUGGUUAUGGAGAAGAAUGACUUUGUGAAGCAGUGUAGAUGCCCUUGGGAUGGUUGUCGCAUAAACUGUACCAAGUUUGCUUGAGUGUAGGAGAUUUAGCAACUGAAGGGUGAUAAAUGCCGUGGGCAGAUAAUUAGCGUCACAAGUUGAAACUCUUCCAAGAAUAGUAUGCAUUUAUUUCAUGUUGAUCUCCAUCUUCUCGAGUGCCCUUCACUGAAAAGAAAGGUUGCUAGUCAUCAGGUUCUGCAACAGUUGGCAAAUCUGCUUAAACUGGUUGAGUUUCCAUUCUAGGAGAAUGCACAAACAAUUGUUGAAUAUUUAUCUUCCCAUCGACAAGUGAAGAAGGUCAAUUAUGCAGGUUCUUUGGCAGUGUUUAAGCAUGUUGCUGAGGCUACCAACUUCUUAAGCAUUACUGGCAGUUUUGGGGAAGAAGUUUUGCUAAACCUGAACUCAAAUCAUGCAUAGAAGAGUUUGCUGAAAAGUUGAAUAAAUUCGACAUUGAGAGGAAGGAACAAGAACUUACUGCCAAAAAUGCUCAAAGCCAUCAACAGAAAGUGGAGAACUUUGGAGAGCAUUAUUGUGACUAAAAAAGAAAAAGAGAAAAUCGAUGAAUCUAAAAUUACUGAAGAAUUCUCGGAGGCGCAUUUCGGUGGUGAAAUCUCGUCGUCGCUGGCUCGUUUGUUCCGGUUCGCUGCCAUCACAAGGCUAUGGGUGCAAGAUCGGUGGUGAGUUUUCUGACAGGUUCUUUGGCAAUCUUUAAGCAUGUUGCUGAGGCUACCAAGUACUCCAACAUUAUAGUCAGUUUUGGUUCCGGCAAGUGAUCCCUC